AAACACUUACAAAACCCGUAGUCGGACUGUCGAUCCGAAGGUUGAGGGUUCGAGUCCCUUCGCGUUUA
rnacentral:tRNA from 1 species